rnacentral:rRNA from 1 species
CGGCACGGGUGAGUAACACGUAUGGAACCUGCCCUAUGCAGGGGGAGUAAGCGGAAGAAAUUCCGUCUAAUACCGCAUAACACCAUUUGGAGACAUCUCCAGGGGGUCAAAGGAGGCGGACUACCGGCAUUAGGAUGGCCAUGCGUCGCAUUAGCUAGUCGGCGGGGUAACGGCCCACCGAGGCGACGAUGCGUAGGGGUUCUGGAGAGGAAGGUCCCCACCACUGGUACUGAGACACGGACCAGACUCCUACGGAAGGCAGCAG